UACGUAGGGUGCAAGCGUUAAUCGGAAUUACUGGGCGUAAAGCGUGCGCAGGCGGUUUUGUAAGACAGUGGUGAAAUCCCCGGGCUCAACCUGGGAACUGCCAUUGUGACUGCAAGGCUAGAGUGCGGCAGAGGGGGAUGGAAUUCCGCGUGUAGCAGUGAAAUGCGUAGAUAUGCGGAGGAACACCGAUGGCGAAGGCAAUCCCCUGGGCCUGCACUGACGCUCAUGCACGAAAGCGUGGGGAGCAA
rnacentral:rRNA from 1 species